UUACGGAUAUAGAAUCCCCCUACUGUUUCUUCACAGGUUUGUCUAUGCUGUUUGCCGUCUGGAUCAAAACAUACAAUCGUUGCUUGGGUAUUGCCUAAAUAAAAAAUACUACUGAAUCCAAGAAUUACUGGGGUUGAUCAAGUCAAGUUACCUCCACAAUACAACAUCAUGUAUCUGCAACCAGGGGAGAUGUGAUGCCAAGCCUUGCUUUCCAGGGACAAGGAGUCGCUUUUUAUGUUAUCAUAGAAAUAACGUAUUGCGUCAAUUUCUGAUACAAGAUGGAUCUCGUUUACUUUUGUUCCAAUCUGAAACAUAUUUCUUAUCUGUUAUGUACAUAACAACAUCAAAACAGUAGGAAGCGAUGUAUUUUGGCAGGUAGACAGCAAACAACUUGUAAUUACGAACACAUAUAGUAGAGAACACCUUUCAUACCUUUUCUGUUAAAAUAUCCUUUGCAAUAUUUCGAAAGUUUGUAGGAAGGAUUAUCAUCAAAUAUACGUCUAACGGGGUUAUAAAACCGAGUUUCAGCCACGAGUUCUCAAAUGUAUCUUUGAGAUAUUGUAUACAAGAUAUAAUGACUUCUGAAACUGUCAUAUCUGUCCCAGCGUCACUUGGUGAAUCAUCUGUUGUUAUUACCUAAAUUAUAGACAAAAAAGGCUGCUAACAAAUAAGUGGAUAUUACAGAGUUUUAUUCUAUGGUCGUUAUGAUAUAAUUAGCAAAUACAACAUUUUAUUAGUUAAAAUACAGUCUGACGUGUUUCAUACCAAAUGUUAGACCGUUCUUUAUAUACCGAUUUGACUACGGAUUACUCCGUUUACCUAACAAUUGGUAUGAAACACGUGACAUGGCAUUCGAUCUAAUGAAACAAGAUCGUUAUAAUGACCAUAGGAUUUGCGAAAUGCUUACUUAAUACGAGACCGUUGAAACCCCUCUAACAUUAAAUUAUUUGUCAGUAGCCUAACUCGGUUCUGGUUUGGAUUCCUCGAAAAAAUCUCAUACUUAAGUUCCUCUAUUUGCUCGGUCAAAAUUUGAGUAAAAUCUCAGACUUAAGUCCAAGUUUCGACGUAAGUUCUUUUCGAGAAAUCCAGACCAGAUCAUACGCAGAAUAUUUCUCGUGCGUAUUGAAUCACUUGAGAAAUAUUCACACCGAAUGCAAUUGAUAAUGAGUUUUUUUUUAAUAUAUAUAUAUAUAUUUUUUUUUUUUACUAAUUAACGUCCUUCUCGAGAGUUCACUCAUGUGGAAACGUCACAACUGCCGAUGAAGGGCUGCAAAAUUUAGGUCUAUACACGGCGCUUAGGGACCGGUCAGUAUUUAUUGGGGGGUUAGAACCGGUGCAUUCCAUUUUUCCAUUUUUAAAAAGCCCUAUGUCCCAUCUUCUAAAAGUACAAAAAAAGUUGCUGUCCUAUAUCAGAUGUGUAAUAAAAAAAAGUAUGUGUCCUAUCUAAUAGAUAAAUAAUUAAAUAUAUAUGUUUGAUUAAACAACAUAUUUACUUCAUUUUAAAAAUCUCUGGAGUUCUUCAUAAUCUGCACUUAAAAUUUGUCUCUCCAUUGUUAUAUCAACUGAAGGAUUCAAGCUCGUGGGAAACUUUUGUUUACUUUGUCAUUUUUGUUUGGUAAUUUGUCUAAUGAGUAAUGAAGUUACAAAUCUCAUUAUUUUCAUAUCAUUUUUGUUUUUUAUUUUUGUUAAAUUGUUGUUUAAAGUGCUACAGUUUGCAUACCUUUUAAUUACUGUUUUACUUUUUGUUGUCUCAUGUACUUACAAGUAUUUUUCACAUCUCAGUAUUCUCUAUGAAAGGCGAAGAAAACGAACAAUGAUCGAUCUUAUAACUCCUAUAAGCAAUACAAAAUAGAGAGUUGGGCAAACCUGGACUCCUGGAUAUACCAGAGGUGGGAUCAGGUGCCUAGGAGGAGUAAGCAUCCCCUGUCGACCGGUCACACCCUCCGUGAGUCCUCUAUCUUGUUCAGGUAAACGGAGUUAUCCGUAGUCAAAAUCAGCGUGCCAAGAACAGCCUACCAAUCGGUAUGAAAAAAGUCUCAUAGCAUUUGACUCAAUGAUAAAUUGUAUUGACAAACUAUAAAUUUAUUAAAGAUGUGUUUAGACUUUAGUUAAAUUCUGGUCUGUAUCCUUUAAGUUAUGACCAACAUGAUAUACAAUUUUUAUUUUCUAUGAUUGAAAUCCAUAAUGCAUGCAAAACUUGCAUGUAAAUUUUCAAUUUUAUUCACAGCUGAAUACUUUCUUUUAUGAUUUUUAAUUCCAUGUUUUAAUGUUAACAAUCUACAAAGCCUGAAAGGUUCAGUAUUUCAUUGCAAAUUGCCUCUAGUGUAUUCAACUUGGACAUGAAAUAAACCAUGCAUACAAUUCAGUGUUAUUGUUUGUAAGAUAGUUGAAUUAAAGGUCUGAAGUACGUUAUAAUAAUUUUUGUUCUUUGAUACAUUUGCAAAAAAAAUAUAGCUGUCCUAUCAGUGUUGAAAAUCAAAAAAAGUUGGAGUCCUAUCAGUAUGCAAGUCAAAAUAAAUGUGUGUCCUAUUGCAUUUUGCACCGGUCCCAACUCCCCAAUAAAUAUUGACCCGUCCCUUACGGUCUUUGAGCAUGAUGGAUCCUUAUCGUGGCACACCUGCUGUGAUACGGGACCUCGGUUUUUGUGAUCUCAUCCAAAGGACUGCCCCAUUAAGUCGCCUCUUACGACAAGCAACGGAUACUGAGGACCUAUUCUAACCCGGAUCCUCACGGGACAAAUUGUUGUUGGAAUAUUGCUACAUAGAUAUGGGAAGUUGACGAUGGAGAAGCUGAAGUCACCUCGUUUGUCAUAAAGUUGAGUUGUUAGUUAGCCAUUAAUGUCUUUGUUCAAUAAAAUAUCAGGUAUGAAGCAGAUGUGGAAGAUGUGGUGUUUUUCCACUGAGAUAUUUCGAGUCGAUAGAUGAGUGAAAAAAUAUCAUUAUUAAUAGAUACAACGUCGUAAAUAUAUCUAAAUGUCAAGUUAUAUUAAACGCAGACCAAAAAAUACUGAAUUGUAAAAAAGAAGAAGAAAAGAACAUGUAUACUAUAUUCCAAGGAGCGCUCCGAUAUCUUAUGGUGAAAUAUCAAUGAUUAAAUCUGUAGUUUAACAAGUGGAUUAACUUAUACAUCAAUCAACAAUAGUAGAAAUAUUAACUUCAAUAGUCUCUAAAUGUGUGGGAAAAAUAACUUAAAUACUUGAUAAAAUGUCGAAAUUUUAUAUCACACUUAACUCUCAUUCUGUUAUACUUCUGCAUAAGAAAUUCUUAAAACCUUACUUUUAAGUUAUCCUCUGAGAGUCUGCAAAGUCGAACGUCUUCUUUGCUAGCAUCCAUGUACAUACUCUCCGCAUCAUUUCCAAUAGCUAUUACUUUACCAUUUUCACUAAAGAGUAUGGAAAUUUCUCCCUCUGAGAAAACUUUUUUCACGAUUUCCAAUUCCCUUAUGGAGAUCGCUCUAUCAGCAUUAUCUUGCAAUGAAAAUGCCAACUCGCAGUUUGAAGUACUAAUUCUCAUACACAGUACCAAAAACUUCACAGAUCUAUCUAUAAAUAAAAUGAUGACCGUCAAUUUUAAACUAUCUAUCAUAUCAUAACAGUGUAUGGAGGGAGGGAACUGAAAAGUUCAAGAUACUAAUUUUCAACUUCGGAUAAUUAUCACUUCGUUAAUUAUAAACAUGUUAAAGAUUAUUCUAAACAUUUUAUUUUGUUUGAAGAUGUUAAUGAUGAUAUAAAUUUUACCUUCAGUCAUUUUACAUUUGUCCUCAACGCAUACGAGGUUUUUAACGGUCAAUUCUAUUCCAUUGGAUAAUACUGUCCAUUGAAACAUUCCACUCUUAUUUGGACACCAUUUUCCUCUCAUGGCUUUGUCAAUGUCCGAAAAUGUACAAGUUAUUUCGACUUUCGUUUCUCUGUCAUUUGUAAUAAUAAAUGUAACGUCCUCAUUGGUUAUUACGGAUCCACUAGAGGAAAUCAAUGUCAUGGAUAUUAGACAUAUCUCGUGUACCAGACAAUGUGUUGGAACAGAAUUUUGGCACCGAAAAACAUUUGCGUUUGAUACAAGCACCUUAACUAGUGUAUUUAUAUUCUCUUGAAAGUCCAACAUUGUUGCAGAUUUCACGCAUCGAAAAGAAAUAGAAGUAGUGUGCGCGUCUACAUGGUAUGAUCUUUUCCCAAGCUCAUUAAGUCUUUGUAACAUCGCCUUUGAUAUCAGGAGAAAAGCUGGCUUGUUAUUAUAAUAUAGUGAUUGCUGGAAAAACGAAAUCGCUUCGUUACGUGAAUCUUUGUUGUGUUGUAAAGAAUCUGCUUGAUUUUGCAAUGUCUUAUCUUUCUGAAGAGAGAGAACAUCUACCUCUCCUAAAAGGUCUUUUUCUCUUCUGUCUAUGAUUUCUUUUGCAUUUCCCAUUGUUGCUUCCAUAGAAUGUUUUUCAUGCAACGCAUGCUCUCUAAUAAGUUGCAUCUCUUUUUGGACACACUGAAUGACAUUUUCUAUCGCCUUGACUUGACUUUCAAUUUCAGAGUAUAUAACGUUUGCCUUCAGUCUUUCCUUGCAGUAAACAUCGCCCAGCAAGGAUUGUUCAUGUCCACGGUGAUUGCGGAAGGCACAUAAUAUGCAAACUGACUUUCUGCAAGGCGAGGAACAGUAAAUUCUCAGCAUUUCCUUUUCAUGAUCACGUUGAGUGCAAAAUACAUCCGACGAAAACUCAACUGGGUCAUUUGGGUUAUCAGCAGAGUUUCGGCGGAUAGGGAAUAAUUCAUGAUGUAUAAGUUUUCGUAUCUUUUUGUGGAUCAAAACACACCCAUAACAAAUAACAACUUCACAUUGUUUGCAUCGAUGUGAAAGGUCAGUGUGUUUUUCGCACAUUCCGCAUAUCUCUUUCUCUCCAUUCCUAUGAAAAUCAACAUAUGUAUGGAGGUUCUUGAGAUUAGGAUCACUUGGAAGUUCGUCCAAGCCUCUUUCUUGAAUGAGAUGUUUUUCGUAACAAUCAGGACAAAUAAUUUCUUUGUCGAUUAUCUUUUUCUCGAGACAAGGAAUACACAAGCUAUGUAAACAUGGAAGAAGGCGAGAUAAUCCAACAGACGUAUUUAAAUUGUCAUUGCACAACCGGCAUUUCAGAUAUGUAUCUGCUAAUCCUUUAAUAUCCUUUAGCGUUAGAACUUCCUUUUCCAUUCUAGAACAUUCAAAUGCAUAUCAUGCUAUACACUACUUUCGUUUUGUUUCUGGAGAUUGAUCUCAGCGCUACAUAAACACCAACAG